GCCGUGGGCGCUGGAGAAUUGAGGGGGGCUGCUCCUAGUACGAGAGGACCGGAGUGGACGCAUCACUGGUGUUCGGGUUGUCAUGCCAAUGGCACUGCCCGGUAGCUAAAUGCGGAAAAGAUAAGUGCUGAAAGCAUCUAAGCACGAAACUUGCCCCGAGAUGAGUUCUCCCUGAGACUUUAAGUCUCCUGAAGGAACGUUAAAGACGAUGACGUUGAUAGGUCGGGUGUGUAAGCGCAGCGAUGCGUUGAGCUAACCGAUACUAAUGAACCGUGAGGCUUAACCUU
rnacentral:rRNA from 1 species